GGCCCAUUGGUGAAGCGGUUAACACACAUGGUUUUCAUCCAUGGAUUCACGGGUUCGAUCCCCGUAUGGGUCACCA
rnacentral:tRNA from 1 species